ACAACAGGCAAGCACACUCAUCUGAAGUCCAUUUGGUCUGUGGCCGACCAGCAGCUCCCGAGGAACGGUACAACUGAGAUGGCAGCUCGAGGUGAAAGAGAGGAACUAGACAGACGGAAGAAAGAACGGAGCCAAGUCAAAGUGGACUCUGAUCAAAGCUCAAUUUUACUAUUCCAACACGCAGUUAUGAAGGAGGGGAAGGGGGGGCCGAUUCCCGCCAAAUAAUCCUGGAGUCCAGUAGCAGGGUGACCACGUGUAUGGCUCCAGAACAGCAAAGCAGCAGGUUCCAGCAGUGGGCGUGGCAGAACGAUUGAGGGGCAAGCUCCAUCCAGAUGUAAACAGUGGAACCAUUAAGGCUGGGGGAGGGAAGGCUACAGGUUCAGAUACCAUAAAUGCAUAGAGGCCAUAAAUUCUGAUCCAGUAGUGCUGGAGUAAACAGACAGUUGUGAAUCACCCAACAUGGGUGCUGGGGAUUUAACUCAAAUGACCUGGAAGAGCAAACUCUUAACUGCUGAGAGCUCUCUCCAGGGCCAAUAAGAAUUAGUUUUGAACUACAUAUCCAACUCUACCACGUCCAGGUCUCAUGUGAACAUUGAAAAUACUUAGCCAGG
rnacentral:lncRNA from 1 species